rnacentral:lncRNA from 1 species
GCGCUCCGGAUUUCUCCAACUUCAGGCCCUGAAAUGUGGUAGUUCAGCUCCACAUUGGAUGCUUUUGGCCGAUGCCUUGGUUUUGCUCCUCCCCUAUGUGCCAGUCCUAUGAGUCUGCUAGCCUCCUGGUUCAGUGUGGAAGCCUCCUUGGCUGCAGCGGGGGUCAUGCACAGCAGCCUCAGGAGGCUGCAUUUGUCCAUCUCAGCAUCUCUUUCCCUGGGUCUGGCCCUCAACCUCUUUCUUGUAGGCUGGAAUUUGAGUGCUUCACUCCCUGAACUCUGGAGGAUUUUAACAUAGUUACGACUUGUGUCUCCAAAUGGAUAAACCAGGACCAGUGCCGCACUCAGUCGAAGCCAACUAGACCACUGCUAGACCACUUUUUUCAACACCGAGUGUGCCAUGAGAAACUAUGUUAAUAAAAGGCAAAAAUGUGGAAGGAACAGGAAGAAUGAAAAAGCAAAAUAAAAAAGGGCAAAUUCUUGCAAAACCUCUUCAUCCCUAGCUUUUCCCAGAAAUCCUGGCAUUUCUUCAGUAAAUUUGUUCUGUGCAAGUAUUUGUUCUACCAAGACCGAUCAGUGAAAAAUGAGAAAAACCUAGUUUCUUCCCUAGGAAUUGAUGCCAUUUUAUGAAAUCUGUUAUUAAUAUCAGCCAGUUGUCGAGAAAGUGCACUUGUUCAGUAGCUGACUUUGGCUGCUCAGUAUGGGCUUUUGCUUUGCCAAAAAUAAUGAGAUCACUUUUCUAAUUCCUUUUUAAUGUGUUUACACAGCUUCAACAGUAUUGCCUGCUCUAUACACUAGGAAACAUUAUGUGGAACAGCAAAUUUGCUUUCCAAGUCAAACUGAAGAAAACCACACAAUAAUUAUCUAGAAUUAACUUACUGAAUUUAAAGAGGAAUAUACUUGAACUGCCUGACAAAUUAUGCAUUAAGAACAAACCAAGAGAAAAACAAAACAAACAUCACACCAUAAUAUUUUUGUAAAAAGUUUUGAAAGACAAGUGUUUCAUCGUCUUGAGAACGCUGACUUAUGAUGCCCUUGAUUGGCAUUAAGGAAACAAACUCUGGGAAAGAAUGAUGACGUCCUGUUAUAUUCUCAUCUUUGUAUUGCUCUCUCAAGAAAUAUGGGGGAGGAGGAGCCAGAAGAAGAAACAGCUCGAAGAAUUGACUAUUGUUGCCUCUGGCAAAUGGGAUGAGGAAAUGGGAAGUUAUGAGACAAGGAAAUGAUGAGUUUCAUUACAAGCCUAGAAGUAAUUAAGCGUUUAUGUUACUCAUUUGUACUAUUUUCACUUAAGACAAUGAAAAUUUAUAAUUUCUAAAGAGCAGAAAAGAGCUCGGAAAGGUUACCUGCUUGGUAACCAAUGGCUGUAUGAUAUGUUGCCUGACUGUUAAAUCCAGAAACUGUCAAAAGAUGGGUUUUGUUUAGGUUGAGCCAGACUUUCUCCAGAAGGAGUAACGCACCAAAGGAUCUGUCUGACUCCCACCCCCAUGACCACCUCUAUUUCUGCUCAUCUCCAGCUUGACCGCUGGACCUUCAGGCAGGUCUUCCCUUGUCCCACAGCCAAGUGUUGCCCCUCUCCAUUCAUCUCUUCUACUAUUAUCAUCAGCUGAGUCAGAAAUAGAAGACUCAGUGGACACAAAAAAAGACUAGCUGCCAUUCUGAGCUAGAGGCUGCUUCAGAGGAAGACAGCUGACUUCACUGACCACCCACUCAGUCCCAGGCACUGGACUCUGGGCACCUUUCCAUAUUAUUAUCUUAAUUGAGCAUCCCAACUGAUAUGGCCAGGCUUUAUGUCCCCACUCAAAUCUCAUCCUGAAUUAUAAUCCCCAUAAUCCCCUCGUGUCAAGGGAGAGACCAGGUGGAGGUGAUUGGAUUAUGGGGGCGGUUCCCAUGCUGUUCUCAUGAUAGAGUGAGAUCAUGAGAUCUCAUGGUUUUACAAGUGUUUGGUAGUUCCUCCUGCAUUUAUUCUCCUUCCUGCCACCUUGUGAAGAAGGUACCUUGCUUCCCCUUUGCCUUCCACCAUGAUUAUAAGUUUCCUGAGGCCUCCCCAGCCAUGUGGAACUGUGAGUCAAUUAAGCCUCUUUCUUUAUCAAUUACCCAGUCUCAGGCAGUUCUUUACAGCAGUAUGAAAAUGGGCGAAUACCCUGGCCCUAAGAGGUAGACUUUAUUACAUCCAUUUCAAAGAAAGACCAAGAGACAGAGCCUCAGGGCAGUUUGCCAAGUCUUACAGCUAGGUGGGGGCUGCAUUGGGACGUUAACCUGAUUAUUCUGAUGGACACGAGACCAAGGGUCUUGCUUGGUUGGUGAUUAAGCAACAGCACUGGUGAAGAACAGACACACACCCUGGUUCACAGGAGCUGCUCACCCCAGUCCAGCUGGUCUGAGGGCAUGUGGCUCCCAAGUUCAGGUCUGAUGCAAUAAGUUGGGGAGGGAAAAGGACAAUUGCAGUGGCCAAGGAAAGGGAGUGAAGGUGCCUACCCAUGAGCAGCCGCCGUUUCACCCGUUUAUCCCCAUCCACCACUGAUGUGGUGUUGCUCUCUGUCACCUCCAGGACAGUGUCCUCUCGCUCUACAAGAGAAGCAAAAGAGCACGGUUCUCAGACUGAAUGAGUUAGAUUGCUCAUCCCCAUACAACUGUGUUUGCUGAAAUCCCAGACAUAAGAGGAAUGAAAGAUAUGUGACUCUGUUCACGCAAUAAAAAUGUGUUGUAAUGAGGCUCUGUGGGAGACACAGCCCGUUAAAGGGCCACAGAUCCUUAGCAAACAUUAAACAUGGAAAAGAUUUUGGAGGUAUAUUGCACUGACCAAAGAGACACUAGGGAAUGCAAGCUUCAGUCCCCUGAGUCGAGGAGAAAAAGAGCCUUGGGCCUGGAAACCUCUAAAAUGGAGCUAGUGAAGGACACACCGUGAAGGGCAAGGCAGGCAUCCCGCCAGAAAUAUACGGCCCUGGCUCCUGCUGGCCAGAAGUGCCGCAUCAUUAUAAACAGCUCUAACUUCGUGCUGCCCUGGCCUCCUGGGAGGUGUUGUGCCAGUCUCUGGAAUACCAGCGUUAGGAGCAGCCUAGUCCAGGAGAGGAGGAAGGGCUUCCCAAGGUCACACAGGGAGAGAGGGGCCUUCCCCACAGGCCUAGACCACUCCCACUGUAGCAUGCGAAGCAGCACAGGGCCUGCUGGGGGGGCAAAUGCACAGGAAACAGCCUGCAUCUGUGCUAAACACCAUUAAGGGGUAGGGGUAGGGACAGGCAGGCUGGUGCAGACCCUCACUCAGUGUUGGGGUUGCCACUCACCAAGGCAGCUCCUCCCAUCUGUGUGCAUCUUGUACUGUGGAUGGCAGCUGCACUCUGGGCCAUCGGCUGUAUCGUCACAGGAGUGCUGGCACCCACCGUUCCCAUGGUUACAGGUCACUGACAGCAAAAUGAAUCAAUACAUAAAGCACUGAGAUUUCCACAAACACAGGGCUGUGUUUGCUCCAGAGAAAUUCUGAUUUUCAUUCUGCAAGUAUUUGAGCACCUAGUGCAUGCCAGGCAUGGUGCACGAAAGACAUAACUCCAAGUCAGACCCUGUGGUGUCUGUGUAUGCAGAUAGUUACAAUACAAAUUGUAGAAAUGCUGAAACAUGGGUUUAAACAAAGUCAUACAGGAAGAGGGAGAUGGGAGAGUUGGGGGAGAGACUUUUAUUAUAUAAGGGAGAUUAUACCAAGAGAUUCUAGACUACUGCUUUGUUCUAUCUAGAGAAGUUUACCUAUUAAUACAGCUGUACUGGGGCUUUGGGAAAUGCUAUAGCACUUUAUGCUGGAAUAAAACAGACAAUAUUUAAUUUGUACAUAUAUGUCAGAAUUUCUCUCAUCAGAUUCAAUCUAGAUUAGUUAGAAGGAAGGAUAAUCACAGGAUGAUUCUGCACACAAUUAACGUGACAGUAACUGGUAAUUAUCAAGACUAUAUAUGAAUGUAUUGAUGAUAGGCCAAAAAGAAAAAAAGCCAACUACAAAACUAUCUAUUCAUCAAACUGCUAACCGUGGUUACCUCUGGCAAGGGAAACGGGAGGCGGGAAACUGCAUGUUUUCUUUAUAUGCUUUGGAGUGUUUGCAUUUU